rnacentral:rRNA from 1 species
GAUUUCUGGGCUCAAGAAUUUGGCCGGCCACGGUUUCGUGUGUUAGUGCUUUGUUCUGUGUCCAUCCUUCCAAUUGCUAUUGGCUAUUCUUCAUUGAUUGGUCAGUAGUAUUGGAUCUUUUACUUUGAAAAAAUUAGAGUGUUUCAAGCAGGCUUUAUGCUAUGAAUACAUUAGCAUGGAAUAAUAAUUUAGGACUUCUGUUCUAUUUUGUUGGUGUUCUGGAGCUGAAGUAAUGAUUGAUAGGGAUAGUUGGGGGUGCUAGUAUUCAAUGGCCAGAGGUGAAAUUCUCGGAUUCCUUGAAGACUAACUUAUGCGAAAGCAUU